rnacentral:rRNA from 1 species
AACGAACGCUGGCGGCAUGCCUAACACAUGCAAGUCGAACGAGACCUUCGGGUCUAGUGGCGCACGGGUGCGUAACGCGUGGGAACCUGCCCUUAGGUUCGGAAUAACUCCCCGAAAGGGGUGCUAAUACCGGAUAAUGUCUUCGGACCAAAGAUUUAUCGCCUUUGGAUGGGCCCGCGUUGGAUUAGCUAGUUGGUAGGGUAAAAGCCUACCAAGGCGACGAUCCAUAGCUGGUCUGAGAGGAUGAUCAGCCACACCGGGACUGAGACACAGCCCAGACUCCUACGGGAGGCAGCAGUGGGGAAUAUUGGACAAUGGGCGAAAGCCUGAUCCAGCAAUGCCGCGUGAGUGAUGAAGGCCUUAGGGUUGUAAAGCUCUUUUACCCGGGAUGAUAAUGACAGUACCGGGAGAAUAAGCUCCGGCUAACUCCGUG